rnacentral:rRNA from 1 species
UACGUAGGGAGCAAGCGUUGUCCGGAAUCAUUGGGCGUAAAGCGCGCGUAGGUGGCCUCGUAAGUCCGCUGUGAAAGUCAAAGGCUCAACCUUUGAAAGCCGGUGGAUACUGUGAGGCUAGAGUACGGAAGAGGCGAGUGGAAUUCCUGGUGUAGCGGUGGAAUGCGCAGAUAUCAGGAGGAACACCGGUGGCGAAGGCGGCUCUCUGGGCCUUACCUGACGCUGAGGAGCGAAAGCGUGGGUAGCGAACAGG